rnacentral:rRNA from 1 species
UACGGAGGGGGUUAGCGUUGUUCGGAAUUACUGGGCGUAAAGCGCGCGUAGGCGGACAUUUAAGUCAGAGGUGAAAUCCCAGGGCUCAACCUGGAACUGCCUUUGAUACUGGGUGUCUUGAGUUCGAGAGAGGUGAGUGGAAUUCCGAGUGUAGAGGUGAAAUUCGUAGAUAUUCGGAGGAACACCAGUGGCGAAGGCGGCUCACUGGCUCGAUACUGACGCUGAGGUGCGAAAGUGU